AAGUAAUCCUCGUGUGUGACAGAGAGAGAGAGAGAGAGAGAGAGAGAGAGAGAGAGAGAAACGAGCUGGCGGAGAGGAGCAGAAGGCAGGAGGGGAAAUCUGGCACAACGGCUGGGAGAGGAAACUUGAUGCUUCUGGGCCACCAUUUGCCAGGGCCUCGCUCGAGACGCCGAAAGAAGCCUGUUUGUGUGCUGCGGCCGUGCUGUGACUUUGGAUCUUGUCUUUCAGCCGGCGCCUCGGUUCCUGCCCAGCUGGAUUUGGGGGGCAGCAUUGCCUGGCGCAGGGAGAUCAAAUGAGACUGCAAAGAAGCAUAAAAUGAAUAGACAAUCCAACCAACCAAAGACCGGGGGCAGCAGCAGGCCAGCAAGACGGCAUCUUCUCCUUCCCAGCCUAGAAGCCCUGUGAAAUCGAGGAUCUUCCCCCUAAAACACAUACACACAAGAUAUGUGCAAUCAAGCUGCCACCGCUUGGUAAAAAGCCAUGGUGCCUAACCAAAAAGGAUCAGGAACAGAUCCUUGAAUCAGCUGUCACUUCUAUAGAAUGGGAUUUUUUUUUCCUUCCUCCUUAACCUGCGCUGGAAA
rnacentral:lncRNA from 1 species